AAUGUGGUAUUCACGAUCAAUAUUAAGACGAUAAUGCAACUAAAUAGACAAUAUAUAAUAUAGGAAAGCUUUAUGCGCCACAAGUUCAUUCGUAAUUGUUUUAUGUAGUAUGAAGUUGUCGCGCGGUGACGUCAAGCCCUGAUCUAUGCAAAGCGCUCACGAUGCGCGUGCUGCUGUGAGCACAUGGAGGAGAGAGAGAGGACGCACACUUUAGCAGCCUGGCUAAUGUAGCCUGCUCUGUGGCGCAAAAUAUUUGGAAAUGAAGAACAUUUCAUAUCUGGAAAGUGAACUGACUUGCCUAAGGCGUCCAGAAUGAUGAAUCAAAGUGAAUUGGAUGUCCUGAAGUGCUUCACAAAGUGAUUUAAACAGCCAAGGUAGCAUCUCGCAGAAGACGUCAUUAUCAAACAGCUGAGCUGACUUCGACUCUUCCAACUAAGAAAACUCAUCUGCGUCAUCUAUUCCAGGUGUGGCAUCUGUUUAUGGGAUUGAUGAUUUGUAGAGCUCACAUCCUAGUGCAUCGUGUGAAGAUCCUGUCCUUCAUUCCAUGUACAGUUUCACAGAGCUGACUGCCUCAGCUGUCCCAUACAGACUUUUCCUGGAAGCGAGACUUGAGGAUUUCUUCCAGUCUUCUUGGAAUUUAAUUUUUUUAUUAUUCUUAGAGUUACUUUUGGGAGUCUUGUUUCAGCAACGUGCCACAGACUCGUAUCCUCAUGGAAUAUUCUGCAUAAUCGUCCUUAUAACAGAUAUUGCUGUGUGUAGGUCAUCACCCAGCUAUCUACAUUAAGUCAAAGUUGAGCAAGAUCUUUCUAUAUUUAAACCGAAAGAGAGUCUGUGGAGACUCUACUCUUCCUAGUAGGGCUCUUCAAAAUAUCUUCUAGACAACAAAUUAUGAAAUCUGUCCUUAAUUUACUGAUCUUCCAAGCUAUGAAUCCCUUGCUGUAAUUGACUCUUUGCAUGGAGCUUGAUCGACAGGUGAUCUGACCAAUCAUACUUCGCCAUCCGCCAUUUUGUCGGACAAAGCAGUAAGGAGAGUUAGUAGAUUAACAUGGGAUGAUUUGAACUUGAAAAGCAGAAUGUAAUGACGCCUUUCUGCGGUUAAAACAACAUUCCUUUUUAUGUUCAUUCAUGUUUAUUUGAUGCAAUAAAUGAACUAGAAGGAAGAGAUGAUUGGAUCACAAGCAACUUUAACUGAUGCUCUACAGCGAUCUGUCACGACACAUUAAAGAGCCACAAAAUGGUAUUUAUUGCUUACAUUUCUUUAAAAUAAAGACCAAAUUUGAAAGGUGAGACUUUGUUUAAUAUUUUUAAUAUCAAAAGUAACCGAAAAAUAACCUGGUCUGCGUCUAUCAGCGUGUUGUCAGUGCGCAAUGUAUUUUUCACUGCGUGAGAACAUGGUGUGUGUGUGUGUGAGAGAGAGAGAGCAGCGUAGCUUGUCGGACAUAGCGACAGUAACUAAGGGGGGCGGGUUUUUGCGAACGGUCAAUUCCAGCUCCAUUGUAAGUCUUCUUAGAAGUCGUUGAGACCAUGCAGUGAAAGUUCCAUUAAAUGGAAACAAAUGUGUAAAAAUUGUGCUUAUGUUCUGUGAAACUUCAGGUUUCUGUUAUGCAUUAUUUACAUUUUGGUGUCAGCUAGAGGGGUUUUCAAUGGGCUGUAAAGAGUUGCUAGAGGUUCUGUGUAACAUUUCUGUGAAUUUAUUUUUAUUAAUUUAAAAGUCCCUCAGAAUGUUUGAUCAUCAUAUUUGGGUCCACAUGUUUUAGUUAAUUUUUGCUACUGAGUUUUAGGUGGGAAUAAUUGGUUGAUCUCCCCAUGUUACAUGUUUUUUCCUUUACAUUGGUUGUUUUGUGGGUGGAAGGCCUGAUCAUCAGCCCUUACUCAAUAUCGGCUCAUUGUUAGGAAAGAGAAUGAUCUUACAGUUUGGCCUGACUCCACUGAGCUUCCAGUAAACUCUCCAUGUUUAGAGGGUCUUUAUGUCUGUGACACACAGUCUGUGACACACAGCCACACAAAACAUAACAGAGUAAUGACUUUUGCAUAUCUUCGCUAAAUAACAGUAAAGAAAGUCAAGAGGAAUCAUCCAUAGUGGUAUUCCAGUGACCUGGUUUUCUACAUAAUUUGCCCAUCGUACCAAGCCACAGCACCAUCUUUUCAAGAUCGGGUUGUUCAAAAGGUCCGCUUGUAUGUCUUACACUGCCAGUUUUGCUAUGUUAUAUAAUCUAAUUGAAACCAGUUAGUGCUUAAAAAUAGCCACAGGCCAAAAAAAAAAACAGAAACACCCUACAACCAGAGAAAAAUACAAGACUUUCAAUAGUUUUAUGGCACUGCCCUUUUCCCUAGUAAAAACUCUCUUCAAAUGGUUAAGAGCAGAUGUGCAUUUCUCAUAUAUGCCAAUUCAUGGUCUGCAAAGUCUUCUUGGGCGGCGUUCGCUUUCUUUCUUGUGAUUAUGAAUGAGCUGUCAUUCGUUUCAUUCUCUCUCAGUUUGUCUUUUCCUCCAUGACACACUGAUUUACUGAUCUACCCUCUUAUGUUCCCUCUCUUUUGCUGAGUCACAGUGUGUAUUUAAAGAGCUGCAGUUAGAGACCGGAGCGGUAUAACGGAAUUCGCUUACACCGUGCUGCAGUUAUAUUACAAGUAGAUGAUCUAAAGCAGGACAAAUGCUGUGAUUAGCUGUGCACACUCCUCUUAGCAUGUAGCAAAAACCAAAAAGACCAAACUAGGACAGAGUUGAGAGGCCUGCGUUCCUAUUUUAGAUCUGCAAUCUUUAAUGUCCAAAAAUCGGCUCUGCUGUUCAGUGACCAGAGAUUAUCUUGACUAGGUGUUUCAGGUCAGUACAAUACCUUAAAAAUGAGACGAUGAAGAGCAAACUAUUAGUUACUCCCCUUCCCUAUUUCAUCUUUUAGUUAAUUCGGUCUCUUUAAACAAUUAGAUCUUUAUUCCUAGUGCACACUGGAGAUGUCAAGGAGAGUGAAAGAGAGCAAGGAAUGAAGCUAUGCGUUGAGAACUGAAAACCUUCAGUUUAUAAAUAGACAUGGUCUGUCUUCACUAAAUAAGAGCACUUAAACAAUCAAGGACUUUGAAGAUUCCUAGACUAUAUGAAAAAAUUCCCAACGAUGCCAGGUCCCAACCCAGAAGGCCUCGUGCCAGUACGGUUUAACGCACGUUUACCGUAAACAGACUGGAAUCCUGGCGUCUGUGUGAACAAUGCACUGACUUGGCUGCCAAAACCGUAACCCUGUGUUUAUGACCAAACCCACUUCAGAAGCGAGGCUCAGGAUUGUGUAAUGGCACGAUUGGCUUUACAGUAAUUAUGGAAUAACUUGGGUAAAAUUUACCUUUAAAACCCAGUGGCCUCUGAAGGAUGGUUCACUCUAGAUGUAAGAUUCUUGUGUGGUGGUUAGUGAGGUCAGUUUUGACUAAAUCAUAGUACUGGGUUCUGCAAGGUGUGGAAUCUGUCCUGCUGUGUCCAGUCAGCGUGAGAGUGAUAACGCACAGGAAUGUUUUUCUGUGACUGCGCAACUUGUAGUUCCAGGUCUUUGCCAAAUUACAGUAGCUUAUUACACAGCUCUGUGUAUCACUUGAUUCUGAUAGGUCAAUCGAGCCAUCCACCAGUAUGGUAAAAACGGAUAACCGAGGCUUAUCUGGGUAACUGUCACUGAAGUAGGCACUUUGCGCUUUCUUGAAACUGUUUUUUCCUCAUGGAAGUUUAGCUUUUGGUGAGCUAAAAAUAUUAAAACUCAAGUCAAUAUUUUGUGUACAGUUAUUUAAUUGUCAUCAGGGUAACGUGGACUCUCUCUCUCUUGUUUUUAUACAAACACAGCUGCUGCCAUUUUGCUAAUUUAAUAGAUUUAGCAACUGCUUUCUCCACGAAUAUUAAAAAAAAAAAAUUUCGACUCAGAUUGAUAUUUCAUGUCUAAUUAUUGACUUAUGUGGCAAGUAGCCAUGUAAUAAGCGGGAAAAUGUAAAUCCAGGUGGUUAUUGCAGAGUAAACCCCUUCAGGCUGAUUCAAGAUCUGAUCACCCUGCCAAAGUUUAUUCUGAGAGAACAACCGGACAGAUGUAUGUUACCCCUUGCAUAUCUCAUAUCACACUUGGCACGACCCAGAUACCAUCAAUCACUGAGAAACCAGUGAAGAGCUUGGGAAAGGUGUUCAACUUCAGCCUGAAAGACACUGCAGCCAUCCAUGCAACCAAUCUUGAACUGGAAGGCUGGCUUGCUGCUUUGGACAAGUCAGGCCUACCUGGCAAGUUCAAAGCCUGGAUUUACCAACACGGCAUCCUCCCACAGAUUCUCUGGCCCCUCCUGAUUUAUGAGGUUCCAAUCUCCACCAUCGAGGGCUUUAAGAAGGUCUCCCAGGGUGGGAUCGAGAUGAGGACAGGGUGGAGGUGGAGGGCAGCAGAGACGGUGGAUGUGGCUGAGUCGUGGCUAUGGCACUGGUGGGAGCAGUGUCUCAUGGAAGAGCUGGCCUGGGUAGUGGCACAACAUCUUGCUACAACAAGGCACAAGGGAAGGACAGGAGAUCAUUGGUACAGCAAGUGGUGCGGGCAGCAGUAGAGGAGGAGCGGGCCAGGAGGAUGGUUGGAAUGCGGCAGCAGGGAUCCUGGACAAGAUUGGAGCAUGGAGUUGACCGCAGAGCUGUGGAAAGCAGACCCCCAUUGCAUGCGGUUCCUGAUCCAGGCUUUAUACAAUGUACUACCGAGCCCAUCCAACCUGUUCAGCUGAGGAUUGGUGGAGUCACCAGCCUGCAACCUCUGCCUGAAGAGGGGGACCUUGGAGCACAUCCUCAGCUGCAGUUUGAAGGCCCUGGGCGAGGGGGGCUACCAUUGGCGCCAUGACCAAGUCCUGAAGGCUAUAGCGAAUACCAUCAGCUGUGGAAUUGGCCACUGCAAGCGCCUCUGCCCAGUGGAGAACACCACUGCUUUCGUCCGGGCUGGGGAGAAGCCACCAUUAGCUGCCAGGGCUGCCUCAUCUGGCCUUCUAGCAACAGCAUGAGACUGGGAGUUGGGAGUUGAAAGGUGGGAUGCAGAGGGUUUGCUGGCCAGUCUCUCUGCAGGGCCUACAACAUCCUGGGCAUCAUAGGGGGCACUAAGCGAAGGGCCAUCAAAGAGGUCACAGAGUCAGCAGAAGUUGCCUCAAGGUGGCUGUGGAUAAGGAGAGAGUACCACGGGGGGUAGGGCUACCUGGACACAAGCUGGGGCCGAGUGUGAGAGUGUAUGCUGCUUGAAAAACAUGAAGCUCUCUGUGACCCCAGAGUGACCAUAUUACGGGGGUUUGUGCUGAGGAUAGCAUUGUAUUACUCACUCCUUCCUGAAAAUGUGUGGGGACCCUCCCCUCCAGUGGGCCACGGCCAAGAAUGCAAUACGCACCUCUGCAGCAUUUGAAUACAGCAAAUUAAUUUCCAACCACACACGCAUCUCUCUCACCACAGGGAGCAAGACACCUGAUCUGAGCGGAAAGAGAAACCAGACCUUACUACUAGAUAAAAAUAGACUGAAAAGAAAAUAAUCAUUCCUUCACUCACGGAAAUGAGUUGGGGUGCUGCCUUUUGUUUUUGAUAAGAUGACACAGAUUCAACUCUGUGGUUAUCAGCCGCUUUGCCUGGCCUCAUUUGGAAGCUGACUGUGAUUCCAGCUGACGGACACGGGACGCAAUGUGAGCGUUGUGUGUGACGUGCUGUUACUGUGCUUUUCGGGUACGACGUCAUUGCUGGAAGCCAGCUACAGAUUCCCACCCUGUCCCAAAAUGGAAUUAUGACAGCUGAAUGCUCCACUGGACCAGCCGUCGCUGGAUAUGACACAGCAGGUGUUCCUCCCAACGUGGCGCUCAACAUGGGGGGGGAAAAGCCACACGUGAAGGUGCUCUAAUGCUGGAGCCUCCUGCAAGGAUCAGGUCACCAGGCCUUGGAUUGUGACGAGCUACAUCUGCCUUAGCUGUGUCCUUAUAUAGCUCCAUGCUUGCAGGAAGCUCUGAAUAUAAAUUAAUUUGACUGCCCAUCUUUCACAAACUUGUACAUAUCACUUGCUCCCUGUAUGUUUAUGCUGUACUUUUUUUAAAGAAUGACCUGUCCUGUGGCGGUGAUGGUGCAGUUAGUUGUGUUUUGCAAUUUAAGUGCAGCAUAUAUUUCAAAUGUAUUUGAAAUAUUAAUGUUGUUUUAUUUAGUCAUGAUGAUAUUAUUUGAUGAUGAUAAUUGAUCAUAAUAA